ACGGAUAUGUAAUUACGGUGCCACGCGCUCGUUUUCUUGCUUGCUUUUAUACUUACAUACAUAAAUACAUUAAUCCACACAAACAUACAUCCUCACAAUAUAAUACAUAUUAAUUCGCCUGGACUGUGUUCUUGCCUCGAGAAGAAAAGAUUUUAUGAGGAAGAAUACAGAAGAGGAGGGUAAAAGGGCAUCACGCGUAUGUAUCCUGCAUAAGCUGAGGUCAUCCCGAGGUAGUUUUACCGCCCACACACGUCCUCUUCUUUUAUCUUCCAUUUUCAUUGCCAACUUCCUUUAUGUAUGUAUAUUCAUGUAUAAAUAGGUAUGUAUGUAUUAAUGCAUAUAUGCACCUUUUGAAUACAUCCGGUCAACAUUUAGACAACUAAUGUUUGUCUGGCAGGCUUGUUUGACGCACAGGACGACAGAGGACAACAGGAAGUUAAAUAAAACCAGGCAAAUGAUGUGGGUUUUACACGAUUAGCAUAAUCUUUUUAUUUUUCUUCUGUCUUAUUGUCAUUAUCACUAUCACCGUCCAAUACGAUUGUAUAUUAUCACACGAGCAUAAAAAAGCAUAUUAUACACCGAUAAAAGUGUCCUAGAAUACUGAUGUGGACUCAACAUUGCUUGAUAGUCAUAAAAGUGACUCACUUGAUGACUAUAAUAAGCUUUUGGAUGAGUUUCAGCUGGCUGAUGACAUGAUCGUGUCAGUGUAUCCCAGCAAGAUACCAGGGGACUAUUGCGCCAGUCUGACCGAGUUGCAUAGCCAUACAAUCCGAGGCAAGAUAUCGAGACCUUUUUUGAUCGAGAGGUCUCCAAGACUUUGGAGGACGUAGUCUUGUGGUAUUAUACAUAUAAUAAAAAUAACUACACACAUCGGUAAUAUAAUAUAUGUGUAGUAUGUCUAAUCAAUUUUGUAACCCCGGCGAUUGUAAAAUCAUUGAAGAAUGUGGCUCGGCAGAUUUUAGGUGGAUUACGACCGGAUGUGCUCACACGUUUGCUGUAGAUCAAGAUACAUCAGCUACCCAUACAAUAUACUUGUAUAUAAAUGUAUAGAAUACAUGUUUAAAUCUCAAGCGUGUGUAUAAACGCAAAAGGUAGUGAGUUAAAAAUUGCGUCACUUUACCCAGAGUGUA